GUUGCAGAAUUCAAUCGUUUCGCCUCCACAAGCACCCACAAAAGACAAUCGAAACGCGGGUCUGCUUAUAUUUUAUUGAACCGGUUAUCUUUGAAAGGAGCCCCUGUUUACUCUGCUUAGCUUCAAGAACUCUGAUUGAAAAUAAUUUACUAUCAAGCUGUCAAUAACUGAAGACUUGAAUCAUUUAAGUGAUUGUGAGAAUAUAAUGAGCUCACUGUGAGAUAUAGAUUAUUGAGAAAGCUGAGAUUGUUUGAUAAAAGAUUGGUUUGAUUGAUCUGAUAUCUGACUGUGAAGCUGCUGUUGGCCUAUACCUUGGGUCGAGUUUCAUAAUAUUCAAGACAAACCCGUUGUCCCCAUGGAAUCUCUCUCGCCAAGUAGCGAGGGAGAAGAGCUUCAAUUUUUCAGGUGGCACAUCUGAAUGACGAGUGACAGGAUUUUCAAAGUCUCCAUAUCAGCAAGGUGAGCAUGUGGCUGUGAGUACCGUCCAAAAUAGAGUUGGAUACUUUGCAAAGAUCUCAAUUUCAUAGCCAUUGUAUCCUCAAGGAGCUAUCGGUUGGAAUAUGAAGAGAAUGCACCCCCAGGUCACGGAUAUGACCCGUUGAUGAGACAGUCAGCAUCAGAGUUUUUCAGGGGCCAGGGUUCUAAUAGCUCCUAUCAUCCCAAAUGACCAACUGUCAGUCGACGAAGCUCUCAACUAAUUUUUUGUCUAUAUUUUUGUACCUUUUAUCUCACCUGUUUUCCAGAAUAUAACCGCGC
rnacentral:sRNA from 2 species